AAUUGAGAAGGGUCUGGCUGCAGACCAUGGGCGAGUGGAGCUCCACUCUCAAACCGGAAAUACGUCACCUCCACUUGAAAACAUCAAGAUGGCGUUGCCGGGAGUACUUCAAACUUAAACUCAGGGAUAGGAUUGGCAUGGAAGAUGCAGCACUCUUUACAUUUUAAAUAUCAAAUGUAUAUCAAGUGUUAUCCAUUCUCAUAACACCUCCACAAAUAGAGACUGGAACUUCUGAGCACCAUCACCUUGUCUGCUUUGGGACUGUCUUAGGUGAAUGAUGCAGUACUAUUCUGAGUUGAAUUUACAUAACGUCAGUACACAGACAUAGUAUUGUUCCAGUUUUGCUAUGCUCAUGUCUUCUUUGUGUCCCCAUCCCAGCAAUCAGAUGCAUCAGAACAACAAAGCACAACUGUGGUGGCCCAGGCACCUUCAGCAACAAAGAUUUAACAACACUGUCAGUCAGGAGCAUAUUUAACAUGAGGCACACUUCAGCUUGCUUGAUGGUGACUUCAGUGCAGUGAAGAUAUUUAAAGAGACACUAUCACUAUCUAAAGUACAGGAAGCUGUACAUCAUCUCUAGGUGCAGUCGCCUACAGUGCAGCCAGCUUCACAAAGACUGUGGGGCUGGUCACCAGGAAAAUGGACAACAGGGAGGGCUUUUUGGGUUUUACUCCUCAGAUGACCACCCUGGCUAUUGUAGCUGGGAUUGCUUAAAAAGACGAUGGAGGUCUUGAAGAGUAAAGUGUGCAUGCAUGCGUGCGCACACAUUGUGUUUUUCACUGUAACAAUUAUGGUCACUUGCAGUUCAUGUGUUUUCAGUGUUGUGUAAGAUGUUUAUUAUUAUUAUUACUCAAAAACCAUUAAAACUUCUAAAUUGUGGAAGUUAUGCUUCAUUAUUUUAUUGUGGUUUAUUUGUAUAUGU